CCUACGGGAGUCAGCAGUGAGGAAUAUUGGUCAAUGGGCGCGAGCCUGAACCAGCCAAGUAGCGUGAAGGAUGACUGCCCUACGGGUUGUACACUUCUUUUAUCAAGGAAUAAAGUGAGGCACGUGUGCCUUUUUUUAUGUACUUUAUGAAUAAGGAUCGGCUAACUCCGUGCCCGCAGCCGCGGUAAUACGGAGGAUCCGAGCGUUAUCCGGAUUUAUUGGGGUUAAAGGGAGCGUAGAUGGGUUGUUAAGUCAGUUGUGAAAGUUUGCGGCUCAAACGGAACAUUGCAAUUGAUACUGGCAGUCUUGAGUACAGUUGAGGUAGGCGGAAUUCGUGGUGUAGCGGUGAAAUGCUUAGAUAUCACGAAGAACUCCGAUUGCGAAGGCAGCUUACUAAACUGCCACUGACAUUGAUGCUCGAAAGUGUGGGUAUCAAACAGGAUUAGAUACCCUGGUAGUC
rnacentral:rRNA from 1 species